CAAUAGCGUAUAUUAAAGUUGUUGCGGUUAAAAAGCUCGUAGUUGGAUUUCUGCUGAGAACGACCGGUCCGCCCUUUGGGUGUGUAUCUGGCUCUUUCUUGGCAUCUUCUUGGUGAACGUUGCUGCACUUGACUGUGUGGAGCGCUACCCAGGACUUUUACUUUGAGGAAAUUAGAGUGUUUCAAGCAGGCAUACGCCUUGAAUACAUUAGCAUGGAAUAAUAAGAUAGGACCUCGGUUCUAUUUUGUUGGUUUCUAGAGCUGAGGUAAUGAUUAAUAGGGAUAGUUGGGGGCAUUCGUAUUUAACUGUCCGAGGUGAAAUUCUUGGAUUUGUUAAAGACGGACUACUGCGAAAGCAUUUGCCAAGGAUGUUUUCAUUGA
rnacentral:rRNA from 1 species